GGAUGCGAUCAUACCAGCACUAAAACACCGAAUCCCAUCGAAACUCCGAUGUUAAGUGUGCUUGGGCGAGAGUAGUACUUGAUGGGUGACCUCCUGGGAAGUCCUCGUGUUGCAUCUU